GACCUUGGAAGAUACCACGAAAUGUGGACAAAGCAGAUUCAUCAACUGAAGUGGGUGCUUUGAUUCUUGGGGAGAUGGCAUCAUUCAGGGCAUCCCAAAAAGUUUUACCGUCAACAUCUCUUACCAGUAUUAUUUGUAGUGACUUUUCCGCAGUAGCUUGAAAAAUUGAGCUGAACAAAUCUGGAUUCUCCUGAAUCUCAGCAGCUGAUUGCCCUUUCCAAGCAUUCAACGUGUUUAAGAUGGAUUGAUUAACAUAUAGUCCUGCAGCAUAGACCUUAACACCAAUGAUUGCAAAGACCUUCUCUCUGUAUCCAAUUCCAAGUAGUGAUAAUG
rnacentral:misc_RNA from 1 species